AGUGAACGCUGGCGGCAGGCCUAAUACAUGCAAGUCGAACGGCAGCACGGCAGAGCUUGCUCUGUGGGUGGCGAGUGGCGGACGGGUGAGGAAUACAUGGGAAUCUGCCCAGUCGUGGGGGAUAACGUAGGGAAACUUACGCUAAUACCGCAUGCGCCCUUCGGGGGAAAGCCGGGGACCUUCGGGCCUGGCGCGAUUGGAUGAGCCCAUGUCGAAUUAGCUAGUUGGCGGGGUAAUGGCCCACCAAGGCGACGAUCCGUAGCUGGUCUGAGAGGAUGAUCAGCCACACUGGAACUGAGACACGGUCCAGACUCCUACGGGAGGCAGCAGUAGGGAAUAUUGGACAAUGGGCGCAAGCCUGAUCCAGCCAUGCCGCGUGAGUGAAGAAGGCCCUCGGGUUGUAAAGCUCUUUUGUCCGGAAAGAAAAGCGCCGGGUUAAUACCCUGGUGUCCUGACGGUACCGGAAGAAUAAGCACCGGCUAACUUCGUGCCAGCAGCCG
rnacentral:rRNA from 1 species